GGACUGUGCUGCAGAGACUGGAGCAGAACAACACUGGAGUGAAGAUUACAACACUUUUAUACCUGGGGAAACUGAGGAAGAAGGACAAGACAUUUCCUACAUGAGCCCAGGAGAGCACAAAGCAGCAGGUCCAAAUGGAGAUGAUUUUCACCUACCUGCUUCCUUGGUGUGUUGGGCUGCCUCUGAGGCAAUCUUAAUGAAGCCUUUUGUAUUCUUGGGAUGAAGAUGAUCCACAGAGAGAAGAGUUAACGUGAUCACUCCUAGGCAGGGGAAGGUGGCUGCAGAAUGAAGGCCUGAGAGAUUGGUUACAGGUUUUCCCCUUGGGACAGAUGGCAAGCCACAUUCCUCUGCCACACUCGCUUCUGCUGGGAAGAAGGGAUAAUGCAACAUGCCUCAUGGGGAACCAUCGGUGCUGAUCUCAAUGACCAGCAGUAAGUGAAGCUGAGCUUUUCUGAGUGAGAGGAGGCAACCUGCUGAUAGCUUGGAUAGUCUAAUGAUUAGCAGUGGGAUGGAGAAGACACCAACUGUUCUGUGCCAAACAGGGGCUCGGCAAUCCCAUUUCAGCCAGAAUAAGUGGAGUAAAGGCAGCCAGCACUGUCUGGAGGAAAAUGCCACACAGUGAGCCAUGCAUCUCUGCAAGCUGCACAGGCAAAGGUUUUAAGCUCUUGCUGAAAGUUCACCUCUUCUUGCUGGCUUCCUUGUGGUGUUUGUGAGGUCCCCAGGAUGAGGUGUAAAAGAGGAGCCUUUUUAAUGGAGUUACCCUGCUGUGAAGCAGGUGUAAGUGAGAGGAAAAUCAUGCCCCUUCUAAAAAGAACUGGCAAAGUUAAAAUCUUUGGAAGCAUGUUGGAGAUUGCUGCUUCAGUAGGUACUUGAGGAAUAUUCUCUGUCAACCCAGGCAGCAGGGCCUCUGACAGUAGAAGCCAAGUUUAAAUAAAAACUUCCUCACUAUUCAGAGAACAGCAAGGCUAGGGCAGGGCUAGGCUUGAAAUACAAGGGCAGCCCCUGUGGGAAUCUCUUACCUCUGAGGGGAGGACUCGGUGCGACCAAGUGACUCUGAUGAGAAACCAGGGAUCCUGAGGCUGGUUUGAGCACCAAGUGGAAUUUGAAAACAGGCAGCUCUGAACCUUCCAGCAAAGGAGAAAUUAUUUCAAAAGAAUCAGUGUCACGAGUGACUCAGACAUGGUGCUUUGAAUUGGAGCAUCCUGUGGCAUCUCAGCACCCGAAAUCUGUUGGGAGUUGAGCUGUUUCAUGCUUGAUGUGUCCACAGCAGAGCCUUUAGCUGUGAGCCCUCAGAAGUACAGAGAAAUGCAUCAGAGCCUUGCCUGGAAGUUGGUAUCCAGAGAACUGGGAAAAGUUUGUUCAGAGCAAAAUCAGUUUGUGGUUCUCUCAUUACCUGCUGGAAUUCCAACUCAGGGGGAUGAGACGCUCCUGGUAUUUCACCUUGUACCUCUAUUUUUGGAAGUCUGGCCUCAUUGCCUGCUGGGGAGAGAAGUGAUUGGAAGCUAUCUAGCUCCAGCCACUGAAGUACUAGGCUUUGUCUGUAGCAAAGGAAGAAGGCAUCCAGCUGGGCCACAGGAAGUGUUCCACAAGCCCUGUGGAUGCAUUAUGAAAGCUGGAAUGGUUACACUGAGACCUCAGAUAGGACUUGUGAGGGAAGCUCACUAUACCUUGUGCAUACUGUGCCUUUUGCUGGAGAAGCCUAAUGGUCACCAGCUUCCCUGAUCUACAAUCCCCAGUGCCUCUGCCAUCAUUAAACAGGCAGUGAACAUUUAGAGACUGAUGCUAAACUCUUGUCCACCUAGUGAUCCCACUCUUGGAGACCCAGCACUGGCAGAUGUAGUCAGACCAGAGCUGUGCUGAUACAAACUGUGACAUCGAAGGCGUUUGUCCAUCAGGACAUUGUCACACUGAUUUCAGCAGUAAGGGGGUUUAACAGCACCUCUGUGGUCCUGCCCAGCAGUGUACAGGCUUUCCACCUCAGCUCCUUCCCCUGGCCCUGCAAACAGCUGGUGCCCAAGCUCUCUUGUCUUACCUCCAAACUUUGGUGUCCAUUGCUCUUCCUUCUUCUUGGCAACACAGUCCCCUCCUACCUCCACCUACUCUAGAGAGGGAACAGCAUGAAGUGACUAAAAGCAGGAGUAUGUAUGAAAAUGUGGCUUUUCUGUAAUAGCAGAUACAAAGAAGAAAAUCUACAGAGAUGAUGUGGCUGGCUCAGUUUCUUUAAGGUUUUGAGCUUUUGGCUGAUGACAGGUGUUGAGUUAAAUCACUUUGAUCAUGUUUUAUAGUCAUUAAAAAAACACCCCAAAGAUAAAAAGUGAGAGACCAUAAGCCAUUUUCAGGAUUUCCCCUUCCUUGGUGUUACUGCAACAUUUUAAUUCUCUCUCUCUGCACUUUGCACUGAUCUUUGGAUGUCAAGAGUGAGAUCCUAAGCUAAGGAUCAUGCUCUAAUUUGGCAUCACUCUUGUAUAGAAUUACAGCUCCCUUGGCACUUUUAGCAAAUGUUGAAAUCUUCUUCUAAAAGCUGCACUGGCUGUUGGGACAGCAGAGCUCUCUGCUUUGGCCUUGGCUCUCGAGCAUCAUUCACUGCACCCACCCUGCCCUAGGAGACCAUGCAAUCAAAGUGGCAUUCUUCAAAGUCAGCCUGCCCUGCAGAUGUACGCAUGCAAUUAGUAACCUCCCUGCAUUUUUAGUAUCAACCCUUCCUUCCCUUUGAAAACACCUCAAGAAUGAGUCUCUGUGAUCUUUAUCACACACAUGAGGCCCAGAGAAUGGUAGAGUCCAAAGAAAUGUGAAAAUGGCCUGUUUUUUCCUGAGUGGACCCAAUGCAGUGAAGAUCUGUGGGGCUUUGAAGAUGAGGAAUUUCUCACCAGAGGAUGUUAAGCUGCCAAAGUUUAUAUGGGUCUGAAAGAGACUGGACCCAGAGGCAGCUCCUAAGGAGGACCUGUGCUCCUCCCUGGUCCUGACACCCCUUCCUUCUGGCUGAUGGGUGGGCUGGGCUGAUGCCCACCUUGCAGACACAAAACUGCUGCUUGUACCCAUCUCCUGUGUCUCUGCCCAUCUGAGGACACGUAUGUUUCUGCAGAAGGGUGGGAUGAGCAGGCAGGUGCACGAAUGUAUAAAGUAGGAGCAUGUCAAAGUUACAGCACUUGCUUUCUGGAAGCCACAGACAGACGUUAAAGCAAAACUGUGCCUGUCUGCUUCCAUUCAUUUGAA